rnacentral:snRNA from 1 species
AUACUUACCUGGCAGGGGUGACAUCAUGAUCGUGAAGGUGGUUUUCCCAGGGUAAGGCUCAUCCAUUGCACUCUGGGUGUGCGAUUUCCCCAAAUGCGGGACUGCAUAAUUUGUGGUAGUGGAAAAUUGCAAACAGUCAUCUGUU